rnacentral:rRNA from 1 species
GUGAACGCUGGCGGUAGGCCUAACACAUGCAAGUCGAACGGCAGCACAGAGGAGCUUGCUCCUUGGGUGGCGAGUGGCGGACGGGUGAGGAAUACAUCGGAAUCUACUCUGUCGUGGGGGAUAACGUAGGGAAACUUACGCUAAUACCGCAUACGACCUACGGGUGAAAGCAGGGGAUCUUCGGACCUUGCGCGAUUGAAUGAGCCGAUGUCGGACUAGCUAGUUGGCGGGGUAAAGGCCCACCAAGGCGACGAUCCGUAGCUG